UAUAUUGAUUAUAAUGUGUUUGCAACACAUUAAAGCUUUUGAAGAGUUCAAGAAAUAUUUGUCUCGACUUAAAGAUCGAGCAUUAUGCCAACGAGAUUCUUGCUUAUACUAAGAAAGUAUUGAAGCAUUUUUAUGAGGAUUAUCCGUUGGACACUUUAAAGAUUUUCCGGAAGUAUAUUGGACCGGACAUCGUAUUUUCCUGAUAGAGCUCAACUCCAUUACCAUCAUUUUGGGAUGAUGUGAGGCAUAUUUGAUGUUAUCUCAGCAUAACACCAUAUACGGGCAUAUUUUUGAGUGAACUUACAAAUAGCCCAAGUGUUAUUAGAUAUGCGG
rnacentral:lncRNA from 1 species